GUCGCUUUAGCUCACUUGGGAGAGCGCCAGACUGAAGUUCAGUCACGAUAUCUGGAGGUACUGUGUUCGAUCCACAGAAGCGACA
rnacentral:tRNA from 1 species